rnacentral:tRNA from 1 species
GCCUUUAACAAUUCAGUUGGUUAGAGUACCAGUUUAGUAAGCGGGAGGUAUUGAGUUCGACUCUCAACAAGAGCA